rnacentral:lncRNA from 1 species
GAAGCAUGCAUUGUCUCUCCUUGUUGCCACCAUCUACAAACUUCCCAGCUACAAGGCAUUAAGUUCUUCAAAGGACUCCAGUCUGCUCCACUUGUUUUUUCCAAAAUACCGUGAUUAAAUCCAACAACCUAUAUCAGCACCCAAGCAGAUGAAUUCUGAUGGAGAAAACCACACAGUGAAGACCACUCCUUUUCCUUGAAAGUUAGGAUCAUGAAAUUUCAAAUGGAUAUUUACUCAUCUCAGUAAUCCUACCAUACUUUCCAGAACCUCAGAAGAUAUAUGAAGCUUUCAAUCCAGUUGGAAAGUCAAGACUGACAGGUGGCACAACUUGGUGCUGAGAGAGGCCACCUCAGCUUGUGAUUUCUCCCACAAGAGGCAAGUGAGAGCAAAAUGAGCGUCCAGCUUCCCCAGUCUUAUUCGAUACUUCCCAGGAGGCCUACUUCUACCCCACGACAUCCAGAAUACUGAGG